GAUGAACGCUGGCGGCGUGCCUAAUACAUGCAAGUCGAGCGAACGGACGAGAAGCUUGCUUCUCUGAUGUUAGCGGCGGACGGGUGAGUAACACGUGGAUAACCUACCUAUAAGACUGGGAUAACUUCGGGAAACCGGAGCUAAUACCGGAUGAUAUUUUGAACCGCAUGGUUCAAAAGUGAAAGACGGUCUUGCUGUCACUUAUAGAUGGAUCCGCGCUGCAUUAGCUAGUUGGUAAGGUAACGGCUUACCAAGGCAACGAUGCAUAGCCGACCUGAGAGGGUGAUCGGCCACACUGGAACUGAGACACGGUCCAGACUCCUACGGGAGGCAGCAGUAGGGAAUCUUCCGCAAUGGGCGAAAGCCCGACGGAGCAACGCCGCGUGAGUGAUGAAGGUCUUCGGAUCGUAAAACUCUGUUAUUAGGGAAGAAUAUAUGUGUAAGUAACUGUGCACAUCUUGACGGUACCUAAUCAGAAAGCCACGGCUAACUACGUG
rnacentral:rRNA from 1 species